rnacentral:rRNA from 1 species
GACGAACGCUGGCGGCGUGCCUAAUACAUGCAAGUAGAACGCUGAAGAGAGGAGCUUGCUCUUCUUGGAUGAGUUGCGAACGGGUGAGUAACGCGUAGGUAACCUGCCUUGUAGCGGGGGAUAACUAUUGGAAACGAUAGCUAAUACCGCAUAACAAUGGAUGACACAUGUCAUUUAUUUGAAAGGGGCAAUUGUUCCACUACAAGAUGGACCUGCGUUGUAUUAGCUAGUAGGUGAGGUAAUGGCUCACCCAGGCGACGAUACAUAGCCGACCUGGGAGGGUGAUCGGCCCCCCUGGGACUUGGACACGGCCCAGACUCCUUCGGGAGGCAGCAGUAGGGAAUCUUCGGCAAUGGGGGCAACCCUGACCGAGCAACGCCGCGUGGGUGAAUAAGGUUUUCGGAUCGUUAAGCUCUGUUGUAAGUCAAGAACGGGUGUGAGAGUGGAAAGUUCACACUGUGACGGUAGCUUACCAGAAAGGGACGGCUAACUACGUG